UACGAAGGGGGCUAGCGUUGCUUGGAAUUACUGGGCGUAAAGGGAGCGUAGGCGGAUAGUUUAGUCAGAGGUGAAAGCCCAGGGCUCAACCUUGGAAUUGCCUUUGAUACUGGCUAUCUUGAGUACGGAAGAGGUAUGUGGAACUCCGAGUGUAGAGGUGAAAUUCGUAGAUAUUCGGAAGAACACCAGUGGCGAAGGCGACAUACUGGUCCGUUACUGACGCUGAGGCUCGAAAGCGUGGGGAGCAAACAGG
rnacentral:rRNA from 1 species